rnacentral:rRNA from 1 species
AGCAGCCGCGGUAAUUCCAGCUCCAAUAGCGUAUAUUAAAGUUGUUGCAGUUAAAAAGCUCGUAGUUGAAUUUCGGGACCAAUCUGCCGGUCGUGCCUCCGGUACGCACUGGUUUUAUUGGUUUCUCCCUUCUGACGAACCAUGAUGUCAUUAAUUUGGUGUCAUGGGGAAUCAGGACUGUUACUUUGAAAAAAUUAGAGUGUUUAUAGCAGGCUCACGCUUGAAUACAUUAGCAUGGAAUAAUGAAAUAGGACGUUUGACCCUAUUUUGUUGGUUUCUAGGAUCGACGUAAUGAUUAAUAGGGAUAGUUGGGGGCAUUAGUAUUCAAUUGUCAGAGGUGAAAUUCUUGGAUUUAUUGAAGACUAACUACUGCGAAAGCAUUUGCCAAGGAUGUUUUCAUUAAUCAAGAACGAAAGUUAGGGGAUCGAAGACGAUCAGAUACCGUCGUAGUCUUAACCAUAAACUAUGCCGACUAGGGAUCGGAUGAUGUUAAUUUUUUAAUGACUCAUUCGGCGCCUUA